rnacentral:rRNA from 1 species
UACGUAGGGGGCUAGCGUUGUCCGGAAUCAUUGGGCGUAAAGAGCGUGUAGGCGGCCCGGUAAGUCCGCUGUAAAAGUCAAAGGCUCAACCUUUGAAUGUCAGUAGAUACUGCCGGGCUAGAGUCCGGAAGAGGCGAGUGGAACUCCUGGUGUAGCGGUGGAAUGCGCAGAUAUCAGGAAGAACACCAACGGCGAAGGCAGCUCGCUGGGACGGUACUGACGCUGAGACGCGAAAGCGUGGGGAGCGAACAGG